UACAGAGGGUGCAACCGUUGUUCGGAAUUACUGGGCGUAAAGCGUGUGUAGGCGGCCUCGCAAGUCGGAUGUGAAAGCCCUGGGCUCAACCCAGGAAGUGCACUCGAUACUGGAUGGCUUGAGUUCGGGAGAGGGAUGCGGAAUUCCAGGUGUAGCGGUGAAAUGCGUAGAUAUCUGGAGGAACAUCGGUGGCGAAGGCGGCAUCCUGGACCGACACUGACGCUGAGGAGCGAAAGCCAGGGGAGCAAACGGG
rnacentral:rRNA from 1 species